CCUACGGGUGGCAGCAGUGAGGAAUAUUGGUCAAUGGGCGGGAGCCUGAACCAGCCAAGUCGCGUGAGGGACGACGGUCCUAUGGAUUGUAAACCUCUUUUGUCGGGGAACAAAGGCGCCCACGGGUGGGCGUAUGAGUGUACCGGAAGAAAAAGCAUCGGCUAACUCCGUGCCAGCAGCCGCGGUAAUACGGAGGAUGCGAGCGUUAUCCGGAUUUAUUGGGUUUAAAGGGUGCGUAGGCGGACAGUCAAGUCAGCGGUAAAAAUGCGGUGCUAAACGCGGUACAGCCGUGGAAACUGGCGGGCUUGAGUGCGCGAAAAGCAUGCGGAAUGCGUGGUGUAGCGGUGAAAUGCGUAGAUAUCACGAAGAACCCCGAUUGCGAAGGCAGCAUGCGGCAGCGGAACUGACGCUGAGGCACGAAAGCGCGGGUAUCGAACAGGAUUAGAUACCCGAGUAGUC
rnacentral:rRNA from 1 species